rnacentral:rRNA from 1 species
UACGGGGAGUGCAAGCGUUUUUCGGAAUUAUUGGGCGUAAAGCGCGUGUAGGCGGCCUGAACAGUCUGGAGUGAAAGCCCUCGGCUCAACCGGGGAAGUGCUUCGGAUACUAUCAGGCUUGAGUCCUGGAGGGGCGAGUGGAAUUCCCAGUGUAGAGGUGAAAUUCGUAGAUAUUGGGAGGAACACCAGUGGCGAAGGCGGCUCGCUGGACAGUGACUGACGCUGAGACGCGAAAGCGUGGGGAGCAAACAGG